rnacentral:miRNA from 1 species
CUUUUGAAUGAAGAAGCUGUGAUCCCUGGAUGCCUGCCUCACAGGACAUGUGAACUUGGCAGCCCCCCCUGCCAAGUUCACAUGUCCUGUGAGGCAGGCAUCCAGGGAUCACAGCUUCUUC